UAUUUCAAAAAGCUGAGGAAAAAGAAACCAACAGGGAUUGCCUCAGCUAACGGCGAGUGAAGUGGCAACAGCUCAAAUUUGAAAUCUGCCCCUUAGGGCCGAGUUGUAAUUUGUAGAGGAUGCUUUAGGCACGGUGCUUUCCAAGUCCCCUGGAAUGGGGUGCCACAGAGGGUGAGAGCCCCGUAUGGUUGGACGCCGCUCCAGUGUAAAGCUCCUUCGACGAGUCGAGUAGUUUGGGAAUGCUGCUCUAAAUGGGAGGUAAAUUCCUUCUAAAGCUAAAUACUUGCCAGAGACCGAUAGCGCACAAGUAGAGUGAUCGAAAGAUGAAAAGCACUUUGAAAAGAGAGUUAAAUAGUACGUGAAAUUGUUGAAAGGGAAGCGCCUAUGACCAGACUUGUGCUGGGCCAAUCCCCUAUCGUUUUCGGUAGGGUCCUUGUCCCGGUUCAGGCCAGCGCCGGUUACCUUGGGGGGAUAAAAGCGCCGGCAACGUAGCUCUCUUGGGGAGUAUUAUAGGCCGGGAGCAGGAAUACUCCUAAAAGUGGAUCGAGGAUUGCGCUCUGCAAGGACGUUGGCAUAAUGGUUAUUGGCGACCCGUCUUGACCACCCGGGACCCAAUG
rnacentral:rRNA from 1 species